rnacentral:rRNA from 1 species
UACGAAGGGGGGCUAGCGUUGUUCGGAUUUACUGGGCGUAAAGCGCACGUAGGCGGAUUGUUAAGUGAGGGGUGAAAUCCUGGAGCUCAACUCCAGAACUGCCUUUGAUACUGAAGAUCUUGAGUUCGGGAGAGGUGAGUGGAACUGCGAGUGUAGAGGUGAAAUUCGUAGAUAUUCGCAAGAACACCAGUGGCGAAGGCGGCUCACUGGCCCGAUACUGACGCUGAGGCACGAAAGCGUGGGGAGCAAACAGGG